GAUCAUGGCUCAGGAUGAACGCUAGCUACAGGCUUAACACAUGCAAGUCGAGGGGCAGCAUGAACUUAGCUUGCUAAGUUUGAUGGCGACCGGCGCACGGGUGAGUAACACGUAUCCAACCUUCCGUUUACUCAGGGAUAGCCUUUCGAAAGAAAGAUUAAUACCUGAUAGUAUGGUGAGAUUGCAUGAUAACACCAUUAAAGAUUUAUUGGUAAACGAUGGGGAUGCGUUCCAUUAGGUAGUAGGCGGGGUAACGGCCCACCUAGCCGACGAUGGAUAGGGGUUCUGAGAGGAAGGUCCCCCACAUUGGAACUGAGACACGGUCCAAACUCCUACGGGAGGCAGCAGUGAGGAAUAUUGGUCAAUGGGCGAGAGCCUGAACCAGCCAAGUAGCGUGAAGGAUGAAGGUCCUACGGAUUGUAAACUUCUUUAUACGGGAAUAAAGUAUCCUACGUGUAGGAUUUUGUAUGUACCGUAUGAAUAAGCAUCGGCUAACUCCGUG
rnacentral:rRNA from 1 species